rnacentral:rRNA from 1 species
ACGAACGCUGGCGGCGUGCUUAACACAUGCAAGUCGCACGGAAAGGCCCUGCUUUUGUGGGGUGCUCGAGUGGCGAACGGGUGAGUAACACGUGAGUAACCUGCCCUUGACUUUGGGAUAACUUCAGGAAACUGGGGCUAAUACCGGAUAGGAGCUCCUGCUGCAUGGUGGGGGUUGGAAAGUUUCGGCGGUUGGGGAUGGACUCGCGGCUUAUCAGCUUGUUGGUGGGGUAGUGGCUUACCAAGGCUUUGACGGGUAGCCGGCCUGAGAGGGUGACCGGCCACAUUGGGACUGAGAUACGGCCCAGACUCCUACGGGAGGCAGCAGUGGGGAAUAUUGCACAAUGGGCGGUAGCCUGAUGCAGCAACGCCGCGUGCGGGAUGACGGCCUUCGGGUUGUAAACCGCUUUCGCCUGUGACGAAGCGUGAGUGACGGUAAUGGGUAAAGAAGCACCGGCUAACUACGUG